GUGAGGAAAUGUUGUUCCAAAGUAGGCUCCAUCAAUGUUACCUUGGUAUUUGGAUCGCGGGUAGUAUAUAUCUUCACAUCUGGGGCAACAUAUUUUCACAGUGCUAGACCGAGGAAUGUCUGAUUGACCAACAGGAAGGCAGGGUUGUCCACAGCAGUAAACUCGUGGGCAUCUCCCAAAGUCACAUUUCUUGUACUUGCCCAUCAUA
rnacentral:misc_RNA from 1 species